rnacentral:rRNA from 1 species
UACGGGGGGGGCAAGCGUUGUUCGGAUUUACUGGGCGUAAAGCGCACGUAGGCGGAUUGUUAAGUCAGGGGUGAAAUCCCGGAGCUCAACUCCGGAACUGCCUUUGAUACUGGCAAUCUUGAGGCUGGAAGAGGUUAGUGGAAUUCCCAGUGUAGAGGUGAAAUUCGUAGAUAUUGGGAAGAACACCAGUGGCGAAGGCGGCUAACUGGUCCAGAUCUGACGCUGAGGUGCGAAAGCGUGGGGAGCAAACAGG